GCGGGCGCCCCCUCCCAGCGCCCUGGCGGCGGCCCCGCGGCUCACGCCCCCCGUCCCAGGACCCCCGCCCCGAGCGCGCUGUCUGGGACCUAGGGGUCCCCGAGGCUGACCCCUUCCUGGGGCCUUCUCUACCCGGGAUCCCGGCCCCACCACUUUCCACCGACGCGCGCAGCCCGGAGACGUCACCUCCCCGGACCUGUGUCCCCGGGCCGGGGGAACUGGGGGGUGCGGGCGCCCAAGGGGGUACCUGGGCCUGGGUCCCCGGGACGCCGGGGCUGCGCUGGGCGGGGCGGGGCGGGGCGGGGGGGGUAGUCGGGGGAGAUGGCGGAGGGGGAGGUGGCCAGGAGGGGGCGUCCCCUCGGGCGUGGCCUCGCAGACCCCCGGGCCGCACUGCCCCGGGCUAGGCGGUGAGACCGGGCCCCGGCGCCGGCGCCGGCGGGAGAGGCGCCCGGGGCCGGCGCAGCCGUUUCCCUCCAGGGGACCUCCUCCAGGCGGCCCCGGGGGACGGGAGGCAGGGGUCCCAGCCCAGGGUCCCCGGGUCUCCGGAGCUGCUCUCUCCACACCCCGACUCCGGGAACCAGCUCGGGGCGCAGGCGGGGUGUGCGCUGCUUUCUGCGGCUCCGGCGGGGGCACGUGGGCCCAGGGGACCCUGAGGCCUGGAGGGGGAUCCGGACGCAGACGUUUGGGGGAGCCCGACAGCCCGGGAUUCACCAACGGCCACCACAAAGCUUAAAACCCACGAGGAGGCCCUGGAGCCCGCGAUCUCUGGGACCCGCGCUUCGCGUCCGGCAAGCUGUGCCGCGCGCUUCGGCGCGAGAGGCAGGGGCAACCGCGGCCGGUGGUUGCGGGAACAAUUCGGGAAGUCCCUGCCCGGCAGUGAUCGGCGGUGACUGCAGGGAGGUAGCCACGGCGGCCCUCGCCAAAGCAAGCAGAUUAUCGGAGCCCUUUCAGAGCGCGCACAACAAAUGCGGCCGCCCUGGAAAGCAGCAUUUACCGGCGCAGAUCCGCGCGCUGAUGGGCAGGCAGAUAGCGUCCGCGGGGGGCGCCGUGUGCGCCGGGCCACCGAGCGCCCCCCCAGUGCCCUGCGUGCGUGGAGGGACACGUGGGCGUGGACAUGCAGCAAACCACUAUGCAGUGUGCGUGCAACUGUGCCAAGCAAGUGUGCGGCCCGAAGCACCGGUGUGCACGCUCGUGGCAAGCCUAGGCGCGGAGUGUCCGGCCACCGCCGCGGAGCGCGCACCGUGCACGCAGGUACCCAGAACCAGGCUGGCACACAGGGGGUGCCCCAUCAAUGUUUGUGGGAAGGACGGAUGGACAGGAAAUUAUAGACAGGGCCCGACUGCCAAAGGUCACGGCAUAAACUGGCAGCAGAAAACUAUUCGUGUGCAUGGAAGUCAAACUCCCUGGGAACCUGUGCAGGAGCCUCGCAGACCUCUAGGCCUCGCUGCUGCUUCCUACCCCAGCGACCAUCAGUUCUUCCCGUAGCUGCAGCCGGAGGUUGAGAGAGAAAACGAUGCUGCGGUCCCUCCACGUCCCGUGCUC
ensembl:lincRNA